rnacentral:tRNA from 1 species
GGAGAGGUGGCUGAGCUCGGUUGAAAGCGGCCGACUCGAAAUCGGCUAGGUGGGCUAAAACCCGCCUCGGGGGUUCAAAUCCCUCCCUCUCCGCCA